CGAGCCUACGCGGUAGCGGCUGGCUACGCGCUGUUGCCACGAGGGGUCACCAGCGCCUGCCGAUGUUCUGGAGCAGGGGUUGGGGAGACGCUUGGGAUCAGGAGGAGGGGGAAGGAGGGCGCGGCAAAAAGAGAGGGGGUGUAGCGGGCUGCGGCGGCGGCGCAGCAGCAGCAGCAGUGGGGCUGGUUUCUCGAGCGGCGGCGCUCUCUUGGAUGGUCCUCGGAGGGACGAGAGCAGGUGAAGCAGUGGCGGGUGGUCGGGCUCGGCGCCCCGGAGGGAGGUGGCUUAGCGGAGCAGGGUGCAGCAGCCCUAGGGGGUGCCGGCGGCGGCAGCUAGAGGUGGUGGCCGCGGAGGGCCGGAGCGGCUCGAGCAGGUGCCGGAGGAGCCCAUCUGGGGCUCUGGCGACAGCCAUGGGGACACUAGCUGAUGUAGCUGCUGCUUGGGAAGAACGGUCUCGUUGGUCUGCUACCUCGGGUCCUCGGUCUACGGUGACAGCUACUGCUGAUGAUGAUGAGCCCUCCACGGAUGAUGAUACACGUCGGGCGACUGCUGCUGGUCCUCAUCAAAUCCUCCUAGGGUCCGUCCUCCGUACGCGGAGAAAGCUAGACAUAGGAUCAAACACGACCGGAAGAAUUCCGUUUGAACAAAUUCAAUACAGACAUGAGUCUAUAACAACGAAGGUGACUGAGCAGAUACUAGCUCGAGAACAUAAGCUCGGGAGGUCCGGGGACCGAACAUUAUACUACGAACAUACUGAAUAAAAUAGUAAUCUCAACACAACACUAUAGAAAGGCACUCAGGGACUAGAAUUAGUAUG
rnacentral:rRNA from 1 species